rnacentral:ncRNA from 1 species
UAAAUUGAGAGUUUGAUCCUGGCUCAGGACGAACGCUGGCGGCGUGCCUAACACAUGCAAGUCGAGCGAGAAACUUUUGUUUCUAGCGGCGGACGGGUGAGUAACACGUGGAUAACC